rnacentral:lncRNA from 14 species
CAGAAGGGCAAGCAUGCAGGGCUUAUAAGGCCUGGUCCUCCACCCUGGGCUGUUCAUUCAGCCCUGUGUCCAUGCCCCACAGAAACCAUGGAGGCCACCAAGAAAAAGAUACAGAUGCGGAAUCUAAACAUGAAGACUGCCAACAACCGCGCUGAGCGGGCUGAGGCAGACAAGAAAAGUGCCGACGACAAGUGCAAACAAGACCUCAAACUCCCAGUCCUUCUGCCUCAGCCUCCCAAAGAGUGGGCAAAGAGACCAUUAGGCUGACUCGUUCCCUUCUGUGUCCCCGAUUGCAAGAGCAGCUGAUGUACCUCCAGAAGAAAUUGAAAUACAAGGAGGACGAAGUGGACAGGCACUCCGAGGACCUGAAAGACAUGAAGAAGCUAGAGCAGGCGGAGAAAAAACGCCUCCCAGGUAAGUGCGCGGCCGCUGGGCCAGGCGGGGCGGGCUGCUCCGGAGGACGAGGAGCCUGCAGGG